rnacentral:antisense_RNA from 1 species
CGUCAUGGCAGCUGUGCGCGGGAGACCCUCGGGUCUGCCGGGUUUUCCACAUGCCCCGGUUUUCCACCCUGCGUACAGCUGCCACCAUU